GGAUGAACGCUGGCGGUAUGCCUAACACAUGCAAGUCGAACGAAGCUCUUCGGAGCUUAGUGGCGGACGGGUGAGUAACGCGUGAGAAUCUGCCUUCAGGUUGGGGAUAACAGUGGGAAACCGCUGCUAAUACCGAAUGUGCCGAAAGGUGAAAGUUGUUUCGCCUGAAGAGGAGCUCGCGUCCGAUUAGCUAGUUGGUGAGGUAAGAGCGCACCAAGGCAACGAUCGGUAGCUGGUCUGAGAGGAUGAGCAGCCACACUGGGACUGAGACACGGCCCAGACUCCUACGGGAGGCAGCAGUGGGGAAUUUUCCGCAAUGGGCGAAAGCCUGACGGAGCAAUACCGCGUGAGGGAGGAAGGCGCAUGUCGUUGUAAACCUCUUUUCUCAAGGAAGAAGAAAGUGACGGUACUUGAGGAAGAAGCAUCGGCUAACUCCGUGCCAGCAGCCGCGGUAAUACGGAGGAUGCAAGCGUUAUCCGGAAUUAUUGGGCGUAAAGGGUCCGCAGGUGGCGAUUCAAGUCUGCUGUUAAAGACAGAAGCUUAACUUCUGGAGAGCAGUGGAAACUGGAGAGCUAGAGUUCGGGAGGGGUAGAGGGAAUUCCCAGUGUAGCGGUGAAAUGCGUAGAGAUUGGGAAGAACACCAGUGGCGAAGGCGCUCUACUGGACCGAAACUGACACUGAGGGACGAAAGCUAGGGGAGCGAAAGGGAUUAGAUACCCCUGUAGUCCUAGCUGUAAACGAUGGAUACUAGGCGUUGCUUGUAUCGACCCGAGCAGUGCCGAAGCUAACGCGUUAAGUAU
rnacentral:rRNA from 1 species